rnacentral:rRNA from 1 species
AGAGUUUGAUCCUGGCUCAGGAUGAACGCUAGCGGCAGGCUUAACACAUGCAAGUCGAGGGGCAGCGCGGGAUAGCAAUAUCCUGGCGGCGACCGGCGGAAGGGUGCGUAACGCGUGAGCGACAUGCCCGUUGCCCGGGGACAACCGGUGGAAACGCCGACUAAUCCCCGAUGGGAUACGAUGCUUCAUGGCAUUGUAUUGAAAGUUACGGCGGCGACGGAUUGGCUCGCGUCCGAUUAGCUUGUUGGCGGGGUAACGGCCCACCAAGGCUACGAUCGGUAGGGGGACUGAGAGGUUGAACGGCCACAUUGGGACUGAGACACGGCCCAGACUCCUACGGGAGGCAGCAGUGGGGAAUAUUGCACAAUGGGGGAAACCCUGAUGCAGCGACGCCGCGUGGAGGAAGAAGGUCUUCGGAUUGUAAACUCCUGUUGUUGAGGAAGAUAAUGACGGUACUCAACAAGGAAGUGACGGCUAACUACGUGCCAGCAGCCGCGGUAAAACGUAGGUCACAAGCGUUGUCCGGAAUUACUGGGUGUAAAGGGAGCGCAGGCGGGAAAACAAGUUGGAAGUGAAAUCCAUGGGCUCAACCCAUGAACUGCUUUCAAAACUGUUUUUCUUGAGUAGUGCAGAGGUAGGCGGAAUUCCCGGUGUAGCGGUGGAAUGCGUAGAUAUCGGGAGGAACACCAGUGGCGAAGGCGGCCUACUGGGCACCAACUGACGCUGAGGCUCGAAAGUGUGGGUAGCAAACAGGAUUAGAUACCCUGGUAGUCCACACUGUAAACGAUGAUUACUAGGUGUUGGAGGAUUGACCCCUUCAGUGCCGCAGUUAACACAAUAAGUAAUCCACCUGGGGAGUACGACCGCAAGGUUGAAACUCAAAGGAAUUGACGGGGGCCCGCACAAGCAGUGGAGUAUGUGGUUUAAUUCGACGCAACGCGAAGAACCUUACCAAGUCUUGACAUCCUGCGACGGUGCUGGAAACAGUACUUUCCUUCGGGACGCAGAGACAGGUGGUGCAUGGUUGUCGUCAGCUCGUGUCGUGAGAUGUUGGGUUAAGUCCCGCAACGAGCGCAACCCUUAUGGUCAGUUACUACGCAAGAGGACUCUGGCCAGACUGCCGUUGACAAAACGGAGGAAGGUGGGGAUGACGUCAAAUCAUCAUGCCCUUUAUGACUUGGGCUACACACGUACUACAAUGGCGUUAAACAAAGAGAAGCAAGACCGCGAGGUGGAGCAAAACUCAGAAACAACGUCCCAGUUCGGACUGCAGGCUGCAACUCGCCUGCACGAAGUCGGAAUUGCUAGUAAUCGCAGAUCAGCAUGCUGCGGUGAAUACGUUCCCGGGCCUUGUACACACCGCCCGUCACACCAUGAGAGCCGGGGGGACCCGAAGUCGGUAGUCUAACCGCAAGGAGGACGCCGCCGAAGGUAAAACUGGUGAUUGGGGUGAAGUCGUAACAAGGUA